UGUCAGCAAAGGGGAUAUUGAAGCAGAUGGAGUGGUACAGAUGGUGGGUCACUAAAACGCAGGUUGAAGGCUUUUCACAUCAAGUCAUGCCUGUGCCCACAGACAGGGGAGGAGGUGGCAUGAGGCUCCAAGCUCUGGAGCCUUGGAAGUCAGGCAGGCCCCACUGGAAUCACAGCCCCCUACUCCCAGGCACACCUAAGGAGUCAGUCUCUCCUGACCGAUGGAUCCAACUUCACAGCUGCGACUGAGCACCAGGGGGACGUGGCGCUGGGAAAUUGUCCCGGCAGACGAGACUGAACCCUAGAAGGGCCCCAUGGUAAAACUGAUAAAGCCUGAAAUGUGUGUGCAGACAUGGGCCUCUUUAUU
rnacentral:lncRNA from 1 species